UCCUCAUUUUGCAUGCUCUCUCGUCUGUCUGACCGGCGAGAGAGUAUGCACAAUGAGGAGA
rfam:Pristionchus pacificus strain PS312 contig7411, whole genome shotgun sequence.